rnacentral:rRNA from 1 species
AUAGCCACCGGAAACGGUGAUUAAUACCGGAUAUGACGAUCCUGCGCAUGUGGGGUUGUGGAAAGUUUUUCGGUGCGGGAUGUGCUCGCGGCCUAUCAGCUUGUUGGUGGGGUAAUGGCCUACCAAGGCUUCGACGGGUAGCCGGCCUGAGAGGGUGACCGGCCACACUGGGACUGAGACACGGCCCAGACUCCUACGGGAGGCAGCAGUGGGGAAUAUUGGACAAUGGGCGGAAGCCUGAUCCAGCAACGCCGCGUGAGGGAUGACGGCCUUCGGGUUGUAAACCUCUUUCAGCACAGACGAAGCGCAAGUGACGGUAUGUGCAGAAGAAGGACCGGCCAACUACGUGCCAGCAGCCGCGGUAAUACGUAGGGUCCGAGCGUUGUCCGGAAUUAUUGGGCGUAAAGGGCUCGUAGGCGGUUUGUUGCGUCGGGAGUGAAAACCCAGGGCUUAACCCUGGGCCUGCUUUCGAUACGGGCAGACUAGAGGCAUUCAGGGGAGAACGGAAUUCCUGGUGUAGCGGUGAAAUGCGCAGAUAUCAGGAGGAACACCGGUGGCGAAGGCGG